rnacentral:rRNA from 1 species
AUUGAACGCUGGCGGCGUGCUUAACACAUGCAAGUCGAUCGGUAACGCGGGGGCAACCCUGGCGACGAGAGGCGGACGGGUGAGGAACGCUUGGGAAUCUGCCUAUCAGCGGGGGACAACCCGGGGAAACUCGGGCUAAUACCGCAUACGCUCUACGGAGGAAAGCCGGGGACCGCAAGGCCUGGCACUGAUAGAUGAGCCCAAGUCGGAUUAGCUAGUUGGCGGGGUAACGGCCCACCAAGGCGACGAUCCGUAGCUGGUCUGAGGGGACGAUCAGCCACACUGGGACUGAGACACGGCCCAGACUCCUACGGGAGGCAGCAGUGGGGAAUAUUGGACAAUGGGGGAAACCCUGAUCCAGCGACGCCGCGUGGGUGAAGAAGGCCUGCGGGUUGUAAAGCCCUUUCGGUAGGGACGAAAGCUCUCGACCUAACACGUCGGGAGGUUGACUUAACCUACAAAAGAAGCACCGGCUAACUCUGUGCCAGCCGCCGCGGUAAAAC